GUCUACAGCCACACCACCCUGAAUGCGCCUGGUCUCAUCUGAUCUAGGAAGCUAAGCAGGGUCAGGCCUGGUUAGUACUUGGAUGGGAGGGAGAACAGAAUGAGGGUU
rnacentral:rRNA from 1 species